rnacentral:rRNA from 1 species
GACGAACGCUGGCGGCGUGCUUAACACAUGCAAGUCGAACGGAAAGGCCCUGCUUUUGUGGGGUGCUCGAGUGGCGAACGGGUGAGUAACACGUGAUAACCUGCCCUUGACUUUGGGAUAACUUCAGGAAACUGGGGCUAAUACCGGAUAGGAGCUCCUGCUGCAUGGUGGGGGGUGGAAAGUUUCGGCGGUUGGGGAUGGACUCGCGGCUUAUCAGCUUGUUGGUGGGGUAGUGGCUUACCAAGGCUUUGACGGGUAGCCGGCCUGAGAGGGUGACCGGCCACAUUGGGACUGAGAUACAGCCCAGACUCCUACGGGAGGCAGCAGUGGGGAAUAUUGCACAAUGGGCGGAAGCCUGAUGCAGCAACGCCGCGUGCGGGAUGACGGCCUUCGGGUUGUAAACCGCUUUCGCCUGUGACGAAGCGUGAGUGACGGUAAUGUGUAAAGAAGCACCGGCUAACUACGUG